UACAUUCAUACUUACAUAUAUUAUAGAUACAUGCAUAUGUGUGCUUGUGCCGGCUGGUGAUGGAUGCUGUGCAGCCCUCCUUAAAAGCCAGACCGGAUCGGGCCAUUGUAUCAUAUAACUUCCACAAGAAUGAUCAGCCGAAAAUUAAUCUGUUUUCUUUUUCGGUUAGUUUUCUAGUUGAGUUUGUUCUUUCUUUGAUAGACUGUCUGAAAAAUCGUAUUGCAA